AGGUGUUUAACUCAGCUGGUAGAGUGAUGUGCUUACACCACAUAAGUCGAAAGUUCAAGACUUUCAGCACCUA
rnacentral:tRNA from 1 species